UACGUAGGGUGCAAACAUUAUCCGGAUUUAUUGGGCGUAAAGCGUUCGUAGGUGGUUUUAUAAGUCAGAUAUGAAAGACCCAGGCUCAACUUGGGGAACGUAUUUGAAACUGUAUAACUAGAGGUAUGCAGGGGAAGAUGGAACUCACGGUGUAGCAGUGAAAUGCGUAGAUAUCGUGAGGAACGCCAAUGGUGAAGACAGUCUUCUGGGCAUUACCUGACACUGAGGAACGAAAGCGUGGGGAGCAAACGGG
rnacentral:rRNA from 1 species